AUGAUUUAUUUUUUCAAUUUUGGUUAUGUUUUAAUAAAAUUGAAAUUGAAAAAAUAUUUUUUUAAAAAAACUGAAAUCUGGAAGUCCAAAUCUGAUUAGUGAGAGCCUAAGAUUGUCAAAUUGAAAUUUCAAAUAGGCUAAGAAAAAAAGCCCAAUAAAAAAGCUCAAAUCUGACUCUGCUUCGACAAGUCGGAGUUGGAGUCAGAGGUCGGAUUCGACCUCUAACAAAGUCGGAGUUGGAGUUGGAGCCCUAUCCAAAAGUAGUUGUUCAUCAUCUCAAUUACCUGGUAAAAGAAAGGACUCUGUCUUUUAACUGCUGAAACCAGAUCAUAUUUAGUGUACUUUUCACUGCCGGAAAGCUUCUCAGAGACAUUUUCCGAGAAUGCUCUGGUUAGGAUGAAGUUAUAGGGCUCUUCAGGAAA